UUAUUUUAAAUAUAUUUGAAAAUUCUGAUGUUAAUUGAAUGAUUAAAUUAAAGGAUAUGAGAGUUUUAGUGGAUUAGAAUUUCAAAUAUUUGAAAAUUUGGAUCAAUGAGGGUUUUUGCAAUUUUGCAAAAUCUGCCAAUUAGAUUGAAGCAAAAAUUAGUAAAAGAAAUUUGAACUUACAAAUCUACACAUUAGUCAAUUUUUAAAGCCAUUGAAUGGUUUAGCAAGGAGAAAUCAUUGCUAAAAGAACAACAUCUAGAUUG
rnacentral:lncRNA from 1 species